GGGGCCGAAACGGUUUCGACGUGUGCGAUGGAAGCGUACUGUGCGUGUCCCGCCUUGUGUGUUCGGCGGGUUAGAACGGACACUCAACUCGAACUGCCGACAACGUAGUUCCCUUCCCGACCCCGAUGGCGACCCCGGUCGCCCGGGCUGCCUAAACGGCACGGGCGUGCCCUGAGUAAGGAGCUCGAGUAGCUCAGGGGGCGUGAUUACACGAGCAAACCCAGGCUGAGUUCUGCGUGAUGACGCCGGGUAAACGAAAGCGCAGUAAGGCCGUGAUGACUUGUCUCUCGGAAGUCACUGUCUGAAACGAAAAGAGAGACCACACACGUGAAGAUCAGUACGUAACGCGUAAACGGACCCGGGUUCGACUCCCGGCGGCUCCACCA
rnacentral:tmRNA from 1 species